UGUUUCUCUAUUUACUAUAUGUUCUAUUUUUCUUUAAUCUUCCUCUCACUAAAGUAUCGUCAGUUUAAAUUUCUACGCACAACAGUUGUUUAAUAUUGUCUAAAAAUCAUGUCUUCUCUGUUUUGCAUGUUCUCGGUAAGGAAAUAACAAGAAGUCUAAGGUGCCUUUUAUCAAAGAACCCACAAGAGGAUUCAGACCCUGCUGUUAAGUUUGGUAGAGAAAGACUCAAAGAAGAUGUAAUGAUAUGUAGAUGUGACGAGACAAGAUUCACGACAACAACCUUUUGACGGGCUGAAACCUUGCACACUUCGGGGGCCAGAUGAUCUUCACGUUGACAAAUAUCCAUAUAUCAUCGCCAUUAUCCAAGAAAAUAUGAUGACCACACUUUGUUGACAUCUCUCCUCUGUAUAAAGUGCGGCAUUUUUGAACCCUUCGAUUUGUGUAUUCACUCAGGUUUGGUCUUUUUCUCUCUUUAUAAUGUUAAAUUUCAUACUUCUUACCAUUACACUCGUACUCGUACUUCUUACCAUUAAUUCUCAUACUUCUUACCAUUACACUCGUACUCGUACAGACUCAUACAUAUAGUUCUUUUCUCCAAUAAAUUUACUUACCUUCUUGGCUUGCUUAAAUAAAUCAUACACACAUAAAUUUGUUCACUUGCACACUAGAUCAUUACACACAUAAAUUAUUUGUUCACUUGGGUUUUACUAGAGAGGCUUUGUUGCUCAGAUAAUUAACUAACUCAUUAGCAGGAAAAAAUAAAUUUGGAAAUUCUGUGCUCUGUCUUUUUACUCUUAUUACACGUUGACAACUGAAAUGUCACUUAUAGUGGAUAUAUGCAAACUUGUUGACUCCUCAACCAAGUUUCAACCAAGUUUUGCAACUCUCGGAUCUACACAACAAACGGGUUCUGGAUAUGUACGACGACAAACAUGCUCUCCUUGCAAGACACGAGACGACAAACAGCUCUAAACUUUUCUAUUGCAUCAUUAAUUUGCAAUAUGUAGAAGAAAAAAAAUAUGAAUGUGUAAAUGAAGGUAAAUAAUAGACAGGUUCUUUAAUUAUUUUACUAGAUUCAAACCCGUACGUGCGGAUAUAAUGUUGUAUGUUAAAUAUAUAUUUGGUAAAUUAACAUACAUAUCAUACAUAAUUUCAA